UAUGAAUUUCAGAUUAGGGAUAUACAAUACUUUAAAGAGAUAGUUAAUGCGAACAAGAAAAUUCUGUCUGAAUUUAUUCACCUUUAUGUUUUUUUGAAGCUUGCUGGAAAAUUACGCAAAACCACCAUAAAAGUAUCAUACGAUGAUCCAUACAAAAUGUACAGUACCCUAUAGGUCAAUUCAUGAUAGAAAUUGCAAAGUUUGAUUUGUACAUUAAAAGUUUUUGUAAGUCAAAUCUCAUCAAUGGAUCUUUUAAUAGAGUUAAAACAACAACAACAACAAAAAAACAACAACAUUAUGAAUGAUUUGUUCACAAAUCUGAUUCAUUUAUUUUUCAGGUUCAACUCACUGACUCAAUCUAGUCACAGCGAUUCAUGGAAAAUGAAUCAACAGACAUAUCUUUUUUGUUUUACAGAAAAUAAAGAGAGUCAUACAUGUCUAAAACAACAUGAGGGUGAAUAAAUGAACUAUUCCUAUAAUUUACAUGUAAAGGAAAAAAGCAUGCAAGGGAGGUUUGUUUUGUGGAAACUUUAAAAUGUAGCUUCUUGGUUGUUGCAUGCAUAUGUUUUUUCCAGACUGUCCUGCCUGUCACAAAUAGUGUGAUAGACAGCAAGAGAAAGACAGAGAAAUGCAGAUAAAAAGACAGUGGCACUAAAAAAACUCACUGCAUUUAUUUUUCAGCUCUGGUGUGUACAGGCUUGUCUGAGCCAUCAUAAACACCCCCGGCACUCCUCCACACACCCCGGGCAGUGUGCCUGAUUGUCUGUCAGCCAUUGUUGGAGAGGGCUUACACAGUAGAGACAUCUCAUUUACACUUCCUGCCAUCACAUUCAAACACAUAAAAUGUGAUGUCAUUUUUUUUGGUAGGUGACAGAGCUUAUGAGGGCUCCUGCGUGGGAGGAACCAGCUGGCAGAGGGGGAAAAACCGUGGCCUUUUUCCAAGAGCAGUAAGAGUAUUGAUUUGACCUUCAUCUUUAAAUACCAAACAUUGAGGUUUUGGUCUAAUGGGCUCUGUUGUGUUGGUUCACUUUGCGUCCCCAUGCCUGUGAUAUGACUUACACGGCCAGGUGAACGUGGCGGCAUGUUGCCACAGCAGGGCAGUAAAGUGACUUUGACCCUCUGAUCUAGAUGUCCAUAAGUAAUUGCCAAUAACAAUAGGUGAUAGUCUAUCUAUCUAUCUAUCUAUCUAUCUAUCUAUCUAUCUAUCUAUCUAAACUGAAUAUAGACAGCAA
ensembl:lncRNA